rnacentral:tRNA from 1 species
GCGGUCAUGGCGGAAUUGGCAGACGCGCAAGAUUAAGGAUCUUGUGAUCAAAAUUGAUCAUCCGGGUUCAAGUCCCGGUGACCGCA